CCCUUUGAACCGUCACCUUUCAUGCCUCCUGUUACCAAGGGGUUCGAUAACAACUUUGAUGCAACGACUAGCAGGCAACAAAGAAGCUAAGCUACUGCCAUAGUUAGAUCAUCAACUAGUGAAAAAGAGGCCGGUUCGAAGGAGAGCAACCUGGUGAAGAUUAGAUAAAAGUUGUGGUAUGUUGCUUCCAUUCUUUACUACCAGCCACUCACCAUCUAAGACGUUUGUCUGCUAAGCAUGUUUGCAUGCCAAGUUCGAAAAAGGCCUUUGAACAAGGAGCUAUCUUGAAAAGAAGAGGAUAUUGUAACCGUCUAUGAUAAUGCAUACUUAACUGUUCAUGAGCCAAAGCUAAAGGUUUCCUUUUUGCUUGCAUUACUCCUAUCCUUAUUGCAUGGAUAUAUUCAGAGAUUCUGGAGUAUAAUAUAUCUUCAUCUCCUCCCAAAGUGUGUUGUUUCUUACUAUCUUGUGGUGGAUGAUAGUGUCCAUGGCCGAUAGAAGAUCAUGAGCUCAAGGUGAAGGACUCGAAGACGCUUCUAUUUGGUGAGAAACCAAUUACUAUCUUCAGUGUUAGGUAUUUG